GAUGAACGCUGGCGGCGUGCCUAAUACAUGCAAGUCGAGCGAACGGACGAGAAGCUUGCUUCUCUGAUGUUAGCGGCGGACGGGUGAGUAACACGUGGAUAACCUACCUAUAAGACUGGGAUAACUUCGGGAAACCGGAGCUAAUACCGGAUGAUAUUUUGAACCGCAUGGUUCAAAAGUGAAAGACGGUCUUGCUGUCACUUAUAGAUGGAUCCGCGCUGCAUUAGCUAGUUGGUAAGGUAACGGCUUACCAAGGCAACGAUGCAUAGCCGACCUGAGAGGGUGAUCGGCCACACUGGAACUGAGACACGGUCCAGACUCCUAAGGGAGGCAGCAGUAGGGAAUCUUCCGCAAUGGGCGAAAGCCUGACGGAGCAACGCCGCGUGAGUGAUGAAGGUCUUCGGAUCGUAAAACUCUGUUAUUAGGGAAGAACAUAUGUGUAAGUAACUGUGCACAUCUUGACGGUACCUAAUCAGAAAGCCACGGCUAACUACGUG
rnacentral:rRNA from 1 species